AGGGUGGAGAGGGGGACAGGCACACAGAGGCUCUGGUGAUGGCUGAUACCGGGAGGCAGUGGAGGGGAAACCCUUCUUAAUACUGGCCUUGUCAGAACCUCCCCGGGACUAAAAAUGCAGAGGAACUGGGGGCAGGGAAGAAGCACUGGCCCUUGGGUCCUUGGGUGGUUGUCAACCGCAGGGGCCUGUGAGAGCCCUGUGGCACCGCCAUUCUCAUGGACCCUCAACUUCAGUGCCUGCGGCUGCUCUGUUUCCCAGACACACCAAACACUGUCCUUCCAUAGACCACCUGCUACUUCUACCUGCCUCUGAAGUCCCAGGGUACCAGUCAGCUCCUCUCUGCUACCACCCCCACCCCCAGGAGGAACUAAUUACUUACUCCUCUCUCCUCCAUAGCCAUGUAUGUCCCCCUCUAUUUUGGCUUAGAUCACAUGAUAUUGUAAACUUUUCUUUGUAUACUUAUAAAAAACUAGUAGUUAU